GAUGAAGAACGUAGUGAAAUGCGAUAAGUAGUGUGAAUUGCAGAAUUCAGUGAAUCAUCGAAUCUUUGAACGCACAUUGCGCCCUUUGGUAUUCCAAAGGGCAUGCCUGUUCGAGCGUCAUUUGUACCCUCAAGCUUUGCUUGGUGUUGGGCGUCUUGUCUCUAGCUUUGCUGGAGACUCGCCUUAAAGUAAUUGGCAGCCGGCCUACUGGUUUCGGAGCGCAGCACAAGUCGCACUCUCUAUCAGCAAAGGUCUAGCAUCCAUUAAGCCUUUUUUUCAACUUUUGACCUCGGAUCAGGUAGGGAUACCCGCUGAACUUAAGCAUAUAAUAAGCGGAGGA
rnacentral:misc_RNA from 1 species